GCAGUCUUAUUGAUGUUCUUUUGUGCACUGUGUAUAUUAGAUCUACAUAUUACACUUAAGUAAUAGUACCCCGAGCUCGUCCGAGAAACAACACGAGAUAGAAAUCCGAACAGUUCAUCAAAAGGUCAGUGCUUGGUUCCGAUCAGAAGUCUAAUCGCACUGCCCUACAUCGCAAGUCCAGCGUAUUCCAGCGCCAUCAUGAAGACAGUAUUCUUCAUUCUCUCUUUGGUUGUUUUGAUUGUUUGGGAUUACUCUGGAGAUGUCUGGGUUUCUGGUACGGAUGAAGUCGUUGUGGCUUACCAAGGUCCCUACCACGCACACAAAGAAUUCGUGACCAACUACUUCAAAAACUUCAAAUGCCCCCCCAAAAAAGGUGAUCCUUUUGUAUGCAAUGAGACUUACCCCACUGCUAAGUACUGUGUGUUUGGCAGACGUGGAUCCGGCAUCCUCUGCUCCGGAUGCAGAAUUCAAUACGAAAUCUGCGCCCACGAAGUUAUGAUUGACGAGAAAUCUACUAGAUGUAGCCCAAAUGUGAGCUCAACUGAAUGUACUUUCAAUAACACCGAUGUCCCAUUAGUGAUGUAAAUAUUGAGGUGAACUGCCACACAACGGCAUGGCUGCCUCAAUGAGAUGGAAUGAACCUUGAAGCCGUGUGUCUGCAUUGUUGACCACUAAUUGAUCAAUAAAAUGUUUUACGUUAUAGAAUUAAA